GUCUGUGGCUAUACCACCCUGAAUACGACCUAUCUUGUCUGAUCUUGGCAGCUAAGCAGGGUUGGGCCUGGUAAAUACUUGGAUGGGAGAAAAAAAGUCAUUGAGAAGAGAGGGAGCGAUAGAGG
ensembl:rRNA 5S_rRNA 5S ribosomal RNA